GGACAUGUAAGCUCAAUCGAAGAGCGCACGCCUGAUAAGCGUGAGGUUACUGGUUAGAAUCCAGCCAUGGCACACUA
rnacentral:tRNA from 1 species